rnacentral:rRNA from 1 species
GAUGAACGCUGGCGGCGUGCCUAAUACAUGCAAGUCGAACGAAGAGUCUUUGUAGCAAUACGAGGGCUUCUUAGUGGCGAACGGGUGAGUAACGCGUUGGUGACCUGCCCCAAAGUGUGGGAUAACAGUCCGAAAGGAUUGCUAAUACCGCAUGUGGCCAUCGGGUUUAGAAACCGAUGUCUAAAGCAGCAAUGCGCAUUGGGAGGGACCUGCGUCCCAUCAGCUAGUUGGUGAGGUAACGGCUCACCAAGGCGACGACGGGUAGGGGGCCUGAGAGGGUGGCCCCCCACAAUGGAACUGAAACACGGUCCAUACACCUACGGGUGGCAGCAGUAGGGAAUAUUGCACAAUGGGCGAAAGCCUGAUGCAGCAACGCCGCGUGAGCGAUGAAGGCCUUCGGGUCGUAAAGCUCUUUUCUGGGAGAUGAGAAAGGACAGUAUCCCAGGAAUAAGUCUCGGCUAACUACGUGCCAGCCGCCGCGGUAAAAC